rnacentral:rRNA from 1 species
GACGAACGCUGGCGGCGUGCUUAACACAUGCAAGUCGAACGAAGUGGCGAACGGGUGAGUAACGCGUAAUCAACCUGCCCUUCAGAGGGGGACAACAGUUGGAAACGACUGCUAAUACCGCAUACUGAAGGAGGGGAUUGCGGCUGAUUAGCUAGUUGGAGGGGUAACGGCCCACCAAGGCGAUGAUCAGUAGCCGGUUUGGAAGGAUGAACGGCCACAUUGGGACUGGUACACGGCCCAGACUCCUACGGGAUGCAGCAGGGGGGAAACUUCCGCAAUGGACGAAAGUCUGACGAAGCAACUCCGCGGGAGUGAUGACGGCCUUCGGGUUGUAAAGCUCUGUUAAUCGGGACGCGGUACCGGAAUAGAAAGCCACGGCUAACUACGUGCCAGCAGCCGCGGUAAUAC